GCCGAGGUGCUCGAGAUGCUUGUGGUGCUUCUCCUCCUUCCUGUAGUCAGGGCCUGGGUCAUCUGCUAACACUUCGGUGGUUUCGGCAGCGUAGCCGCUGACACCAUCGGUAGCAUAGCUGGUGUCGGAGUAGGUGGUGUCGGAGUAGGGAACGGCGUCGUCAACAGGCUUGUCCUUGUGGUGGAAGAGGUGGUGGUGAUGCUUCUCCUCCGACAUGGUGGUGGUGAUCAAAUUAGCUGCAGAAACGAGAGAGGAAGAUGGUUUGUGAACUGUGAAGGUGUGAU
rnacentral:lncRNA from 1 species